rnacentral:rRNA from 1 species
GGUAACCACAACUUGACAAGGACAACCAAUAAUGUACGUAUUUCCGAACACGCCCUGAACUUGCUUUUACAGAUUACAAAAAUUCCUCCGCUAACCUCAUUAACUCAACUUGUAAUAAUGUACUCGUAUUUCCCAACUCCUGAAUCACUGCUAUGAUUACCACUACCAUCCAAGUGCAAUAUCAGGACCAGUCACGCAAACGUACCUGCUAGUUUACUGUAACUGAAAUUAUCAGGGAACUCUGUGAACCAUCCCCACUUGCUUGCAUCUGCUACCCUUUUACCCUACUGCGGAUCUCUUGUCCAGCAAUACCACAGCAUUUUCUAGGAGACCUUUCAUGCAAGGCUUCCUACACACUCACGACUUCCCUUCGGGGAAGGUAAGUAAAACACUGACCUUGUACAGCUAGAAAUUCAGCAAGUUGUUGACAGUCCCGACUAACCAAAAUUACCCUUGCCCAGAUUCUUCAUAGCAAAGGUCUGUGCAGCUUCAGUAUUCGACUAGGACAGUCUGUGCAGCUUCUACUCGCUUAAUUCGCUGCUACUCAAUGUAAAAUAUUUGGGCACCAUGACAGUUCUAAUGCAACCGAUACAGAGGAGCUAACUGCAGUUCCCUCCACAUUUUCUCAUCCGGGCUUGGGACCGGCAAA